rnacentral:rRNA from 1 species
CCUACGGGCGGCUGCAGUGGGGAAUAUUGGACAAUGGGCGAAAGCCUGAUCCAGCCAUGCCGCGUGUGUGAAGAAGGCCUUCGGGUUGUAAAGCACUUUCAGUGGGGAAGAAAGCCUUGGGGCUAAUACCCUCGAGGAAGGACAUCACCCACAGAAGAAGCACCGGCUAACUCCGUGCCAGCAGCCGCGGUAAUACGGAGGGUGCGAGCGUUAAUCGGAAUUACUGGGCGUAAAGCGCGCGUAGGCGGUCUGAUAAGCCGGUUGUGAAAGCCCCGGGCUCAACCUGGGAACGGCAUCCGGAACUGUCAGGCUAGAGUGCAGGAGAGGAAGGUAGAAUUCCCGGUGUAGCGGUGAAAUGCGUAGAGAUCGGGAGGAAUACCAGUGGCGAAGGCGGUCUUCUGGACUGACACUGACGCUGAGGUGCGAAAGCGUGGGUAGCAAACAGGAUUAGAUACCCCAGUAGUC